rnacentral:rRNA from 1 species
AACGAACGCCGGCGGCAGGCUUAACACAUGCAAGUCGAGCGCCCCGCAAGGGGAGCGGCAGACGGGUGAGUAACGCGUGGGAAUCUACCCAUCUCUACGGAAUAACGCAUGGAAACGUGUGCUAAUACCGUAUACGUCCUUCGGGAGAACGAUUUAUCGGAGAUGGAUGAGCCCGCGUUGGAUUAGCUAGUUGGUGGGGUAAAGGCCUACCAAGGCGACGAUCCAUAGCUGGUCUGAGAGGAUGAUCAGCCACACUGGGACUGAGACACGGCCCAGACUCCUACGGGAGGCAGAAGUGGGGAAUAUUGGACAAUGGGCGCAAGCCUGAUCCAGCCAUGCCGCGUGAGUGAUGAAGGCCCUAGGGUUGUAAAGCUCUUUCACCGGUGAAGAUAAUGACGGUAACCGGAGAAGAAGCCCCGGCUAACUUCGUGCCAGCCGCCGCGGUAAUAC